ensembl:lncRNA
CUGCAAUAACAUCACACUCAUGUAGGAGGGUGGACUUUUUUAUAAAACACAAAGGGCCGGUGGUGUAGGGAAGGCUAUACACGGGUAUAAACUGUAUAUACACUUUUUUUCAGUGGGCAUUGCGUAUACUGACUUCUUAAUCCCUACUGAUGCGUAUCCUAGCAGUGUAGUGGAGGUAUACGUCUUAUCAAUUACAUAGUACAAUAGAGAAAUCAUGCACAAAGUAGCCCACACAAUCGCAAAGUACAUGAAAUAUAUUCACAUGCGCACAGCACACACAGCCUAGUUUUAGCGGAAUAUUAUCUGCUGGCAGCAAAAGUGUGCAGCUCUCAAGGUGUUUUGGCAUGGAGCAGCUCACAGAACAAUGCCAUCGGUAGCCGGUAGGGUAGGUAAGACGUUUCAACUUUCUACUAGUAAAUGAUAACUAAGGCAACAAUGGGUAUGCAAACCAGGUAUUGAAAAAAGUUUAAUCCACAGUGUUGGUUAGUAGGCUAGACAUGGAUGAGCCUGGGUGGACUAAGGCCCACCCAAUGGGGAGCCAGGCCCUGACAGGCCCACCCAAUCAGAUUGAUGUGGUUGAAGCAUUGUUGUGGACUUAGAACAUCACAUUUUAGUAUAUUUUCAUUUUUUUUUAAAUAGGUGUGAUUUUGAGAGUGAAAAUCUGCUAAAUCUAUGGGAAACUCAUUUAACGUGGGAAACAGGGUUUUUCACACAGGUGCCUUUCCUUCGCUAGGCGUGCCGUUUGGGAACUUUUUUAGCUAAAUGUGAGUAUUCCCACUUCUCCAGGCACCACCACACCACUGCAUAGGGCUGAUGGAAGGACAGCAGUCACACACAGCAUGACGUUAAAGUAUAAGUAGUCAAUAAACUCGGACAUAAUAAAACAUUAGUUCCCCAUCAUAAGAAUACAAAAACACAACCAUUAAGCAUUUCCCAAUCAAAAUUGACAACUAUUACCUCCCAUUGCCAAAAACAUUUCACGUUUAGCACCGUUGACCUAAAGUGUAAAGUGGAACUGGCAGCGUUUUAACUACUUUGCAGAUAUAAAACAAACAGACAAUCAUAAUAUCAGUCAAAAAUAGUUUAUGCUACAAAACCAACUUCAUAUGAUAUUUUUAAAAUAGUUUAAAUUUGACUCAACGUUCCAUGACAUAGAGUAAGGCAUUGUUGGCAGAAUAGAUGGAUGCAGUUCAAUGCAUGAUUAAUAUAAUUCACCAAUACAUUUCUUGGUAGUCCAAAACAUAUUGCUGUCAGGUUGUAAAUCACAGCUGGCCUGGUACAUUGUUCGCUCCAACCCCCGCCCCUUUCCCACCGCACCGCCCCCAAUUCGGGAUGCACUGUUUCAAUUUCAAAGACUCAGUAUUCUGGACAAAAAUGGACGAAUGUAACUCUGUGAAUGUCAAUACAAUCAAACUAGCAAGGGCAAUGGUCACAAGUCAGUCAUUACGUGGCUAAUAGGCUAGCAUAUCUAUGUAUGUAGCAGGCUAAAAACACGGAAGCUAGAUAGCUAGCUGCUAGCGGGAUGUCAUGCCAUUGAAGGAGUGGGUAAGUGACUGACUUUUUCCCCCUCAUAUCGGUGGCUAUACACAGCUAGAGAUGCAGGUGUCAUUUGGUUAGCUAGCAAGAACUUGAAUGAGUGUUACCCAGUUAGCAUAUCUCUUGCGUUCACAAAUUCACUCUGGCUAUCUACUCCAAUAUUAGAGAGCUCUCGCCUGAGUGUGCCAGAGCGCAGAACAACUGAUGAAUUUACGAAUGCGCAACACCCGCUGAAUAUGACCAGUAUCAGUAAAUGUAGACAAAAAAAGUAAGAGUUAGUCAAGAACGCUCUAGAUAAAAUGUAAAAAGCCUAACUAGCUCUGCUACUGUGAGUAAAAUGGUCAGAGUGAGGUGUUCUCUCAUUUGUGUUUGGAAGUAGCUAGCUAUCAAGCUAGCCAACUUUAACCAGUUAGCUUUGGUGCUUGGUUGGGACAAGCAUGCAUUGGCAGACAAGCUGUAGAAGGACGAGGAGGCUACAAUUUUGUGGCUUUUGGUGAAUGCGUUCUAAUGAUCUAAAGUCACGCUGUUGCAACUUCCUGUAAACACACAGUCCAGUUCAAAGUGAAUGAUGGCAGGCCCAUGUGACAAAUGGCUUGUUUGUUUAAAAGGCCUACUGUAGCUCUGAUUGACUAUAGCGCACCGGUCUGUGUAGACUCCGGUCCUGGACAAGACAGAUGUUUUUAUUUACUUUUUUAUUUACUGCAUUGUCCAAAUGCACGGCCACUUUCCCACUCUAUAUUGCUAUAGAAUUUUCAAAAAUGCCUUAGUAUACAUAAUUCCCAAACAUUCUAAUAAUUUAUGAAAAUGUGAUCGCUUGUCAGAAAAUGUUUUUUAAAAAGUGUCAUUCUUCCUGAGGGUGUAUGUAGAUGAACAGAUUUGAAUAAGAUGUCAUGUUGCUAAAAUGCUGUAAGCUCCACUUUAAAUGCAACAAUGUUUCACACACCCAAGUUAUUUUCAAAGAGAUGGCUAACACCACAAACACGCUGCAAUAAAAAACACAGUUCCACUCACCAGAUGAUGAUCAUUUGAAACACAGCUUCUUGUUGACAGUUAUUCUUGAAAAGAGAGAAGCUAACAAAUUAGCAAACUAGCCUCUUUGAUUACACCUGCUGCAGCUGCUGCAAACUAGCCAACAACAAAUGCUAGCUAGACUGUGGGAAAACUACUGCUCGCUAAUGCGCAGUGACCUGUUGGGCCUUCAAGAAGGCAGAAGUUUCCAUACAUUUUGGAAAAGCGGUCCCACCCAUUAAGUCAAAAUGUGAUUGGUUGAUUCCACUGUCACUCCAAUAUUUUGCCCAAAUACAGUUGAAUGGCAGAUGCCUUUAUCUAGCUUCUGAUGGACUUGCCAAUGGCUGACUUAUCCAGCUAAAUUUAUCUCCCCAGAGACCAGCAAAGAAAAUCCUGUUUGGAUCUUUUUUUCUCUUCAGUGUAAACCCUUUCCUUCAGAACAAAUCAGAACAUCAUUGAAAAUAAUAAUAUAAUUAUCAUUAUUAUUAUAUUAUUAUAAUCAUUAUUUUAUAAAUCCUUAGCCCUUGUCUAAAGGCUUAGAAGGCCCAUUGUUCCCCACUGUGUUUGGGUUAGUAAUAUUUGUAGAGCGGCUCUAUUUUCCUCAUCAUGCAUUUCUUCACUAUUCUGAAUGUCUAAAGAAUCCAAAUGUUGUUCUGAAAUAUGAACACAGAAAUACUGGACAUUUUGAACUCUUGUUAUUGUGGUGAUUUGACAAAAGUACAAUCAUGGUCUUGAAUUGGACUCGCAUUUUACUGGUCUCGGUCUUGACUCGGUCUCGGAAACCUCUUGUCACCCUCCCGGUCUCGGACACCCCCCCUUGACUCAGUGACUCGGAUUCGAUUUAUUUGCAUGAGCGAUAAACGGGAUUUCCUGCCGCUAAACUCCGCUCACAUACUCUGAAUGAGGGUUAUGGUUAGGUUAGGGGUUAGGGAAAAUAGGAUUUUGAUUUGGAAUACAUUUUUACUCCCCAAACGUCCUGAAAAGUGUGUGGUGUGGGUGUGUGUGUACAUGGUUUCCAACCUUAUCAGGAUCAUAAUGUCCUAACAAUUCACCAGAAUGGCCUGAUAAGGUAGGAAAACAAGGACAUUUCUGAAGAGUCUGGACUUUGUUAAAUGUCCUGAAUUUGCUAAAAUGCUAUUUUAGGCUUAAGGGUUAGGUUUACGUUUUGGGGUUAGGAUUUUGUGUGUGCCUGUGUGUGUGUGUUUUUGGUUUUACUAUUCUUGUGGGGACCAGAAGUCCUCACAAGGACAGUAAAACAAGGAACAUUCAGACAAGUGGAAACAUUUAGCCGAUCCAUACAAGGAAAAAGGCAUUUUCAGGGGUUAGGUUUGGGUUUAGGAUUACAUUUAGGGUUAAGGUUCAGGUUAGGUUUAAGGUUUAGGAUUACAUUUAGGGUUAGGGUUUAGGUUCAGGUUAGGUUUAAGGUUUAGGAUUACAUUUAGGGUUAGGGUUCAGGUUCAGGUUAGGUUUAAGGUUUAGGAUUACAUUUAGGAUUAGGGUUUAGUUUCAGGUUAGGUUUAAGGUUUAGGAUUACAUUUAGGGUUAGGGUUCAGGUUCAGGUUAGGUUUAGGAUUACAUUUAGGGUUAGGGUUCAGGUUCAGGUUAGGUUUAAGGUUUAGGAUUACAUUUAGGGUUAGGGUUCAGGUUCAGGUUAGGUUUAAGGUUUAGGAUUACAUUUAGGGUUAGGGUUCAGGUUAAGGUUAGGUUUAAGGUUUAGGAUUACAUUUAGGGUUAGGGUUCAGGUUAAGGUUAGGUUUAAGGUUUAGGAUUACAUUUAGGGUUAGGGUUCAGGUUAAGGUUAGGUUUAAGGUUUAGGAUUACAUUUAGGGUUAGGGUUCAGGUUCAGGUUAGGUUUAAGAGGGUUUCUGUUUGUGCUGGUAUCAAACCUUGGGUUGCACAGGCUUAUUGCAACUUUCUGCUCUUUCUGUAUAUUGCAAAUCAGUGUUAAGGUUAGGGUUAGGGUUAGGAGUUAGGGGAAAUAGGAUUUUGAGUGGGAAUCAAUGGUUUGGUCCCCACAAGCAUAGUAAAAUAAAUAGGGAGGGCUACUGUGUGCGUGGGCAGGGCUCUGUGCAUGUGUGUGUGCGUGUGUGUGCGCAUGACCCCAUUGCUCUCCCCUGUAUGUGUAUGUGUGACAUUAGCAUGAGCAAUAAGGUUUGAGUCCUCGGUGUGUGUGCUGUAUAUAUUGGUGAUCUAGCAUAUCACACUCGCCCUUUCUCUCAGAGCUGACUUACUUAUGUACCUACUUGUAUGAAAGAGAUGAUUGUUCCUCUCCUGUCCGUCCUGUCCUCUCUAACCGAAUGGCCAUUGUGAAUACUGAAUACCUUUGAUGCCAUUUUGAAACUAUCCUCCUCUCUCCACCAGAGUUGACUACUUCAUUUGUCGUGGUUUAUCGUUCAAAGCAGCACCCACAUGAUGCCUGACCUUGAAAUGGGUUUAUUGUUACUUUUAUUGAGUGUUUAUUGAGGUUUUUAUAGAUACAUUGAUGAAUUUAUCCAAACUCCAAUGUUGUGUUUUGUCUUGUUUUAUGCAGCGUGGACAUGCUAAAGCAGAUUGACUGAGGGGAGAAGAAGAGGUCUUAUAUGAACACACUGAUAUUUGAGUCCAUUCCAUUUUGAUACAAAGAUGAUUUUCUUCUGAAUAUGGGGAUAAAACUGUGAUUAGACUUUUAUUUUGAAGGUCUCUGUUCAUUUGAAGUGCAUGUUGGUUUGCUACAGACAGUAUGACGUUUGUUUUGUUUCCUGAUUUGUACCACACAAGCCUCCAUACUUUACCAACAAAUGGGGGUUUGUUAUGGAAAAUGAAAUUCAAAGUGUAAAGGAAACUCCUGUACCAGUCUACCAAACAUGAUUGACUGAAAGUGUUUAUUGAGCUGUUGGGGUUUGACGCUCUAUGAUAAUUCUGUCUUGUCGUGACUGAUAACUCAGCUAUCACCGUAGCUAGAACACUCUCAGCGCUUGGCGGGGAUGGAAUCCUGUAACCAUUCCAAAUCAGUAUAACGAAAUCAGUGCAAAUGCAUUGAAUGACACUUUAAUAUCCAGCGAGCUGAUUUAACGAUAUUCUAUUUCUCAGCUGUGAGAUCUCGGGAGGUUUAAUCGAGAACUUGUCGUUUUCCUAAUGACGAUGGAUAUUUUUCUUUACGCUUUUACGUUUUCCAAGAUGGCUGACGUCGGUGAACUGAAUGUGGCUCUUGAGACUGCUGAAGCGAAUGCCACACCCCCUGCUCCAACCCCCGCCCCUUUCCCACCGUCCCGCCCCAAACCUGUCCACUCCACCAUCACUGCUUGACUAUGAUGUGACAUAUGCAACAAUUAUUUUUUUGUUCGUAAAGAUAUUCUUUGUAUCAGAGGGAGAGAGUGUGGGAGGGGGGCAAUAGGGAAACGCAAAUACAUAUUUUUUAAAAUAUCAAAUGAUGUUGAUAAAAUUAUAACUGUCUUUUUUUUCAUGUAAAAAGAAAAAAAGAAUGACAACUGUUGCUAGUGCACAUGUGCUGUAAAUUGUUCUUUGGUGUAGUAAAAAUCAUCAUGGUUUAGUCGUUUUUAAAAAUCAUUUACACCAACGGUUCUAGUGUCUUAUUUUAGUUAGCCUUCUGCUCCACCGCAUUUUAAGAACCAGCUUAAUAUUUUUCUAAAGGGAUUCUUUGAAAAAAUGCAUGCGUUUGCUGGAGAACUUUGAGUUUAGUGUUGCACAAGGACAGGCGUUGUCUCUGCCUGCAUCCCAAAUGGCACCCUAUUCCCUAUAUAGUGCACUACUUUUGACCAGGGCACACAAGGCCAUACGGCUCUGGUCAAAAGUAGUGCACUAUAUAGGGAGUAGGUUAUCAUUUGGGACACAGCCUCUGUCUUUCAGUUUCCAUGGCUAAGUGAAAAACUUUUGGGGUGAAGGAGUGUACUUAGGUCUUGUACAUGAGAUUAUGUAAAUUGAGGAAAUUAAAAUGAUAAUUAUAUGACGAUUACUUUUGAUCUGUUACAGCUCGUGUAUUUGAAUUAUUGAAAAGAUAUUAAAAAAAUAAAAUGCAAUUGUUUAGUCCGGUGCAGUGUCUAUGAGUAAAUAGAAUAAAUCAUUGUCCUAUUAAAGUACUUAUAUAAGUGGUUGUCUUCUUUUGACAUCAACAUUUAGAUGUUUCCAAAGUCAAUGUACGGUCUGUUUCUUUUGCACCAAUGUAUAAUGUACUGUAUUGCUGCUUAUACACUAUGUUGUAUACCCACAUAUUUCUGUAUAUCUGUAAGAUCUUC